CUGUGCACCACACACGGUGGCCCCUGGUGUGUGUCCAGGUCUUGGUAGGAGGUGGAUAUGUCUUGUUGGGCUCAAGGCUACUUCCUCUAGUCACUGCCAAAGAACCUGGUAUGAGUCCAGGCCAGCAGUGUGAGGGCUGAAGAGACUGAAGUGGCCAGUGGGUGUCCUGGGCGCUGCACGUCCACCUGACCCUGGGCUGGCUGGAGAACACAGGAAGGCCACUUCCCCAUGUGUUGCUGGCAGAGCUCACAUCUGAAGUGACUGGCUCUGUGAAGGAAAAUGGGCAGGAAGGACCAGGCUUGGGCAGGGGCAGGGGACACUGGCCUGGGCUGCAAGGUUGGGAAAGCAGAGAAACCUGCCUAGGUACAAACCACCUGCACCUUGCUGCAGUCACCAGCAAGGUUUUAGGGCGGGAAAGGGACACCACUUUCUCUUUGUGGCUCAGAGUUGCAGUCACAGGGUGGUUUGUACCUAGGCAGACAGGAGGCCCAUCAUGGAGCCAAGUGGCUGGUGGCUUGAGUGGGCUGCUGGAGGCAGGGGUGUUUCCAGAGCCUCGGGCAUAGCCCCAAAGGGAGAAGAGCAGGCUGCGGCAGUCCUGUGGGCAGGGAGCUGGCAGCAGAGCAGGAAUAGCUCAGGACAGGAGCUGCAAGGUAGGGCUGGGGGGUGGCCCCUGGGGCUGGUGACCAGGGAACCCCAGGUGAGUGCUCCCAGAGUGCCUAGAGGGCUCAGGUGAGGUGGGGAGGGCCGAUGGAAGACGUGGAGAGGCUCUGCAGAGACUCAGAGGUGUGGUCUUGAGUGCUCCUGGCAGGGAAGGAGGGGCAGGUCCACAGGGGAAGGCCCUAAGGCUAGUGGUUGCAGUGUGUUGGGGGGGGGCAUUGUUUUUGUUAAUGUCAGAAUGUGCAACAGCAAGUUCCAGUGUCUAAUUUGUCAAGAUAUAGAGAAUGCAGCGGUUCCUCUCCUUCAGGGGAGAGCCUGUCCACUCUGAACAGUGGCACACUAGGAGACCUGGCCACCAGCAGAAGCCGGACAGCAACCACAAGGCCAUGAAAGGCUUGAGCUCUCCUGGCUCUCAAGAGGCCUCCUCCUCCUGACCUGAAGUCCCUGCGGUCAUCCUUCCUGAGCAGUGGCUCUGGGACCCAAGCAGUGAGUGGUCUGCCAAGUCACACGGGUCUCCCUCCUCCAGCUGCCUAAGGCAGAACCAUCCCCUUCGCUUACUGUCCUGUUUCUCAUACCCUUUCCCUACUGGGACUUAGAUUUGUUUUAAUUUAAAAUUUAUCUGAAAAGAAAUAACAGAACACAGAAGCACCUUUCACAACAUAAGCCCCC
rnacentral:lncRNA from 1 species